GACGAACGCUGGCGGCGUGCUUAACACAUGCAAGUCGAACGAUGAACCCGGAGCUUGCUCCGGUGGAUUAGUGGCGAACGGGAGAGUAACACGUGAGUAACCUGCCCUUGACUCUGGGAUAACUGCGGGAAACUGUAGCUAAUACCGGAUACGACCCUCGGCGGCAUCGCCAGGGGGUGGAAAGAAUUUCGGUCAAGGAUGGACUCGCGGCCUAUCAGCUAGUUGGUGAGGUAACGGCUCACCAAGGCGACGACGGGUAGCCGGCCUGAGAGGGUGACCGGCCACACUGGGACUGAGACACGGCCCAGACUCCUACGGGAGGCAGCAGUGGGGAAUAUUGCACAAUGGGCGCAAGCCUGAUGCAGCAACGCCGCAUGAGGGAUGACGGCCUUCGGGUUGUAAACCUCUUUUAGUAGGGAAGAAGCGAAAGUGACGGUACCUGCAGAAAAAGCACCGGCUAACUACGUGCCAGCCGCCGCGGUAA
rnacentral:rRNA from 1 species